rnacentral:misc_RNA from 1 species
GAAAUGCGAUAACUAGUGUGAAUUGCAGAAUUCCGUGAAUCAUCGAGUCUUUGAACGCACAUUGCGCCCCCUGGUAUUCCGGGGGGCAUGCCUGUCCGUGCGUCAUUGCUGCCCAUCAAGCACGGCUUGUGUGUUGGGUCGUCGUCCCCUCUCCGGGGGGGACGGGCCCCAAAGGCAGCGGCGGCACCGCGUCCGAUCCUCGAGCGUAUGGGGCUUUGUCACCCGCUCUGUAGGCCCGGCCGGCGCUUGCCGAACGCAAAUCAAUCUUUUCCAGGUUGACCUCGGAUCAGGUAGGGAUACCCGCUGAACUUAAGC